rnacentral:lncRNA from 1 species
UCAAUUGAUUAUCUAGUAUGGACAGUUUAGAAAAUGUAAGUAAUUCUAUAAGUUAUUACAGUAAUAAACGGUAUGCUGAGGGUUUGAAAAAAAUUUCGGACAGUAUUUUUCUUUUUUCUCCCCAUACAUCUUCAGUCGUAUGGAGAUAACUAAGAAAAAAUACCACUGAAAAUUUUUUUGGCCCUUAUAGCGUAUCCUUUGAUUAUUG